rnacentral:rRNA from 1 species
UACGUAGGGUGCGAGCGUUAAUCGGAAUUACUGGGCGUAAAGCGUGCGCAGGCGGUUCGCCAAGUCAGGUGUGAAAUCCCGGCUACUGGAUGCGCUGAACUAGCGGGCGUAGAGUGUGGCAGAGGGGGGUGGGAAUUCCACGUGUAGCAGUGAAAUGCGUAGAGAUGUGGAGGAACACCGAUGGCGAAGGCAGCCCCUCGGGU